GGGCCCGCACAAGCGGUGGAGUAUGUGGUUUAAUUCGAUGCAACGCGAAGAACCUUACCAGGGUUUGACAUCCUGCGAAUCUCUUGGAAACAGGAGAGUGCCUUCGGGAACGCAGUGACAGGUGGUGCAUGGCUGUCGUCAGCUCGUGUCGUGAGAUGUUGGGUUAAGUCCCGCAACGAGCGCAACCCACGUCUUUAGUUGCCAGCAUUCAGUUGGGCACUCUAGAGAGACCGCCGGUGAUAAACCGGAGGAAGGUGUGGAUGACGUCAAGUCAUCAUGCCCCUUACAUCCUGGGCUACACACGUACUACAAUGGCCGGUACAGAGGGCUGCAAUACCGCAAGGUGGAGCGAAUCCCAAAAAGCCGGUCUCAGUUCGGAUUGAGGUCUGCAACUCGACUCCGUG
rnacentral:rRNA from 1 species